UAUUAAAAAAUUCAUCUAUUUCUACUGUUAAAAACUGCGUUGUUGACAAAAUAACCAAAUAAUUACAUGUGGUAUGCUACGUGUGCCUCAUUCUAAUAUAUAGAGAUCAAUUUUUAAUAGUAGAAAUAAAUAAAUUUUUUUAAUA
rfam:Gossypium hirsutum cultivar TM-1 chromosome 24, whole genome shotgun sequence